UUUCCAACCAUAGGUCGUGAGUUCCCAGGUGACGUCGGUACAAGGAGAUAUGGACGUUUUAAGGUCGAAAGGUCAGUGGGCUAGGCCCAACUCGGGACCAACCGAGUUGGCCCAAAAAAAUCAAAAAAAAAAUAUUAAGGCCCAAAUGAGAGAGGGGUGGCCGGCCAACAAUGGCCCAAGCCCAUGGACUUUAUUAAUUUCCAUGUGCUAAUUAAUAUAAGGGUCAUAUAUGAGUCAUAAACUCAUAGAACCUUCAAGAAAUUAGAAAGGGGAGAAAAACAAAAGAGAGGGAGAAACCUAAGGGCCAUUUUCGGCCAAGCUCAAGACCAAAAAAAAAAAAAAAAAUUUUCAAAAAUCAUUUUCUACCAAUUAAAGGGUCCUUAGCAAGGUGGAGUAGUCAUUGGAGCAAGAAACCACAUAUUUUUGUGAGUUACAAGUCCUAGCCAAGAAGGAAGAAAAGAGAGAAAGAUUUUGGCGAACUUGAAACUUGAUUUUGGAGACGUGUAUGAAGCGGAAAAGGUCAACAGGUAGACAGAUUUGACUCUUAGAAGCUCCAUCAGCAGUAUUGUGGCAGCGCUCCAGUUGUUCCGGAGCCUCAGUUUCUUGGUACUACUUUUGUGUACAUAUUCGGGCACGGUAGAACCGGUCCUUCUUGUAUAUGUAGAUGUACUUUGUUUAGAGGCUCGUAGACAGAUAUGUACAGUCAGAUGUUUUGUACUUUUGUGGUCCUCGUCGUUGUAUAAUGUGCUAGCAAAGUUUAUAAGUCCAUGUCUACAAUUAUGCCAUUAAUGUUAGCGUUAAGCAACAGAAAAAAAAAAAGAUAC